rnacentral:rRNA from 1 species
CCGGUCUGAACUCAGAUCACGUAAGAAUUUAAAAGUCGAACAGACUUAACCUUUGAGCUGCUGCACCCAAAAAUAUCUCUUAAUCCAACAUCGAGGUCGCAAUCUUUUUUAUCAAUAUGAACUCUCCAAAAAAAUUACGCUGUUAUCCCUAAAGUAACUUAAAUUUUUAAUCAUUAUUAAUGGAUCAUAUAUUCAUAAAUUAAUGUAAAACCAAAAUUAAAAGUUUUUUAAAUUUUAAUAUCACCCCAAUAAAAUAUUUUUAAUAAUUAUAAUUUAAUAAAUCUUUAUAAUUAAAAUUACUAUAAAUAUCAAGAUUUAUAGGGUCUUCUCGUCUUUUAAUAAUAUUUUAGCUUUUUGACUAAAAAAUAAAAUUCUAUAAAAAUUUUAAAUGAAACAGUUAAUAUUUCGUCCAACCAUUCAUACAAGCCUUCAAUUAAAAGACUAAUGAUUAUGCUACCUUUGCACAGUUAGGAUACUGCGGCCAUUUAAUAAUUAUCAGUGGGCAGGUCAGACUU